UUCGCCCUUAGAGUUUGAUCCUGGCUCAGGAUGAACGCUGGCGGCGUGCUUAACACAUGCAAGUCGAACGAAGCAUUUAAGAUGGAGUCUUCGGACAAAGCCUUAUAUGACUUAGUGGCGGACGGGUGAGUAACACGUGAGCAACCUGCCUAUCAGAGGGGGACAACAGUUGGAAACGACUGCUAAUACCGCAUAACAUCGCGAGGAGGCAUCUCCUUGCGAUCAAAGAUUUAUCGCUGAUAGAUGGGCUCGCGUCUGAUUAGAUAGUUGGCGGGGUAACGGCCCACCAAGUCGACGAUCAGUAGCCGGACUGAGAGGUUGAACGGCCACAUUGGGACUGAGACACGGCCCAGACUCCUACGGGAGGCAGCAGUGGGGGAUAUUGGACAAUGGGGGCAACCCUGAUCCAGCGACGCCGCGUGAGGGAAGAAGGUUUUCGGAUUGUAAACCUCUGUCGACAGGGAAAAUGAUGAUGGUACCUGUGGAGGAAGCCACGGCUAACUACGUGCCAGCAGCCGCGGUAAUACGUAGGUGGCAAGCGUUGUCCGGAAUUACUGGGUGUAAAGGGAGUGUAGGCGGGACGGUAAGUCAGAAGUGAAAAUUAUGGGCUCAACUCAUAACCUGCUUUUGAAACUGCUGUUCUUGAGUGAAGUAGAGGCAAGCGGAAUUCCUAGUGUAGCGGUGAAAUGCGUAGAUAUUAGGAGGAACACCAGUGGCGAAGGCGGCUUGCUGGGCUUUUACUGACGCUGAGGCUCGAAAGCGUGGGGAGCAAACAGGAUUAGAUACCCUGGUAGUCCACGCCGUAAACCAUAAUUACUAGGGGGGGGGGGGAUUGACCCCUUCCGUGCCGCAGUUAACACAAUAAGUAAUCCACCUGGGGAGUAGGACCGCAAGGUUGAAACUCAAAGGAAUUGACGGGGGCCCGCACAAGCAGUGGAGUAUGUGGAUUAAUUCGAAGCAACGGCGAAGAACCUUACCAGGUCUUGACAUCAAGUGACCGUUCUAGAGAUAGGACCUUCUCUUCGGAGACACGAAGACAGGUGGUGCAUGGUUGUCGUCAGCUCGUGUCGUGAGAUGUUGGGUUAAGUCCCGCAACGAGCGCAACCCUUGUCGUUAGUUACUAACAUUCAGUUGAGGACUCUAAUCAGACUGCCGUUGACAAAACGGAGGAAGGUGGGGAUGACGUCAAAUCAUCAUGCCCUUUAUGACCUGGGCCUCACACGUACUACAAUGGCGUUUAACAAAGAGCAGCGAAACCGCGAGGUGGAGCAAAUCUCCAAAAAACGUCUCAGUUCAGAUUGCAGGCUGCAACUCGCCUGCAUGAAGUCGGAAUUGCUAGUAAUCGUAGAUCAGCAUGCUACGGUGAAUACGUUCCCGGGCCUUGUACACACCGCCCGUCA
rnacentral:rRNA from 1 species